rnacentral:rRNA from 1 species
GAGUUUGAUCCUGGCUCAGAUUGAACGCUGGCGGCAUGCCUUACACAUGCAAGUCGAACGGUAACAGGUCUUCGGAUGCUGACGAGUGGCGAACGGGUGAGUAAUGCAUCGGAACGUGCCCAGUAGUGGGGGAUAGCCCGGCGAAAGCCGGAUUAAUACCGCAUACGUCCUACGGGAGAAAGGGGGGGAUCUUCGGACCUCUCGCUAUCAGAUGAGCCCAAGCCGGAUUAGCUAGUUGGUGGGGUAAUGGCCUACCAAGGCGACGAUCCGUAGCUGGUCUGAGAGGAUGAUCAGCCACACUGGAACUGAGACACGGUCCAGACUCCUACGGGAGGCAGCAGUGGGGAAUAUUGGACAAUGGGCGCAAGCCUGAUCCAGCCAUGCCGCGUGUGUGAAGAAGGCCUUCGGGUUGUAAAGCACUUUAAGCGGGGAGGAAGGUUCGGCACCUAAUACGUGUCGGAAUUGACGUUACCCGCAG